rnacentral:rRNA from 1 species
GCGCGAAAACUUUACAAUGCGGGAAACCGUGAUAAGGGAACCCCGAGUGCCUGUAUAUGCAGGCUGUCCAGGUGUCUAAAAAACACCUGAAGAAAGGGCCGGGCAAGACCGGUGCCAGCCGCCGCGGUAAUACCGGCGGCUCGAGUGGUGGCCACUUUUAUUGGGCUUAAAGCGUUCGUAGCUGGGUUGUUAAGUCUCUUGGGAAAUCUGACGGCUUAACCGUCAGGCGUCUAAGAGAUACUGGCAAUCUUGGAACCGGGAGAGGUGAGGGGUACUUCGGGGGUAGGAGUGAAAUCCUGUAAUCCUCGAGGGACCACCUGUGGCGAAGGCGCCUCACCAGAACGGCUUCGACAGUGAGGGACGAAAGCUGGGGGAGCAAACCGGAUUAGAUACCCGGGUAGUCCCAGCCGUAAACGAUGCGCGUUAGGUGUAUCGGUGACCACGAGUCACCGAGGUGCCGAAGGGAAACUGUGAAACGUGCCGCCUGGGAAGUACGGUCGCAAGGCUGAAACUUAAAGGAAUUGGCGGGGGAGCACCACAACGGGUGGGGCCUGCGGUUUAAUUGGACUCAACGCCGGGAAGCUCACCGGAUAAGACAGCGGAAUGAUUGCCGGGCUGAAGACUCUGCAUGACUAGCU